CCUACGGGUGGCAGCAGUGAGGAAUAUUGGUCAAUGGACGAGAGUCUGAACCAGCCAAGUAGCGUGAAGGAUGAAUGCCCUAUGGGUUGUAAACUUCUUUUAUAUGGGAAUAAAAUGUUCCACGUGUGCGAUUUUGUAUGUACCUUAUGAAUAAGGAUCGGCUAACUCCGUGCCAGCAGCCGCGGUAAUACGGAGGAUCCGAGCGUUAUCCGGAUUUAUUGGGUUUAAAGGGAGCGUAGGUGGAUUGUUAAGUCAGUGGUAAAAUCGCGGGGCUCAACCUCGCCCCGCCGUUGAAACUGGCGUGCUUGAGUGGGCGAGAAGUAUGCGGAAUGCGGGGUGUAGCGGUGAAAUGCAUAGAUAUCACGCAGAACUCCGAUUGCGAAGGCAGCAUACCGGCGCCCAACUGACGCUGAGGCACGAAAGCGUGGGUAUCGAACAGGAUUAGAUACCCGGGUAGUC
rnacentral:rRNA from 1 species